rnacentral:rRNA from 1 species
AUACGGAGGGUGCAAGCGUUAUUCGGAAUCACUGGGCGUAAAGGACGCGUAGACGGGUUGGCAAGUCAGAUGUGAAAUCCUACAGCUUAACUGUAGAACUGCAUUUGAAACUGCUAACCUAGAGUAUGUGAGGGGGAGAUGGAAUUAGUGGUGUAGGGGUAAAAUCCGUAGAUAUCACUAGGAAUACCGAAAGCGAAGGCGAUCUCCUGGAACAUAACUGACGCUAAGGCGUGAAAGCGUGGGGAGCAAACAGAAUUAGAAACCCUGGUAGUCC